GAAAAAUAAUGAUGGAGAGUUUGAUCCUGGCUCAGAACGAACGCUGGCGGCGCGUCUUAACCAUGCAAGUCGAGCGGCAGGCAGCAAUGCCGAGAGCGGCGGACUGGUGAGUAACACGUGGAUAACGUACCCCGAUGCCCGGGACAGCCUGUAGAAAUAGAGGGUGAUACCGGAUAGAUCACUGUAUACGGAAGGUAGACAGCGGGAAAGGAGCUUCGGCUCCGCGCCGGGAACGGUCUGCGGCCCAUCAGCUGGACGGCGGGGUAACGGCCCGCCGUGGCGAGGACGGGUAUCCGGCCUGAGAGGGCGGACGGACACAUUGGGACUGAGAUACGGCCCAGACUCCUACGGGAGGCAGCAGGUAAGAAUAUUCCGCAAUGGGGGGAACCCUGACGGAGCGACGCCGCGUGAACGAAGAAGGCCGGAAGGUUGUAAAGUUCUUUUCUGUCCGAGGAAUAAGUGUAGGAGGAAAUGCCUGCAUGGUGACGGUAGGGCAGGAAUAAGCACCGGCUAAUUACGUGCCAGCAGCCGCGGUAACACGUAAGGUGCGAGCGUUGUUCGGAAUUAUUGGGCGUAAAGGGCAUGCAGGCGGGUCGCCAAGCUUGGUAAGAAAUACCGGGGCUCAACUCCGGAGCUAUAUUGAGAACUGGCGAGCUGGAGUUGCCGAAGGGUAUCCGGAAUUCCGCGUGAAGGGGUGAAAUCUGUAGAUAUGCGGAAGAACACCGAUGGCGAAGGCAGGAUACCGGCGGACGACUGACGCUGAGGUGCGAAGGUGCGGGGAGCAAACAGGAUUAGAUACCCUGGUAGUCCGCACAGUCAACGAUGUACACUGGGCGUGUGCGCAAGAGCGUGCGUGCCGAAGCAAACGCGAUAAGUGUACCGCCUGGGGAGUAUGCCCGCAAGGGUGAAACUCAAAGGAAUUGACGGGGGCCCGCACAAGCGGUGGAGCAUGUGGUUUAAUUCGAUGGUACGCGAGGAACCUUACCUGGGUUUGACAUCAAGAGGGAUCAUAUAGAGAUAUGUGAGCGUAGCAAUACGGCUCUUGACAGGUGCUGCAUGGCUGUCGUCAGCUCGUGCCGUGAGGUGUUGGGUUAAGUCCCGCAACGAGCGCAACCCCUACUGCCGGUUACUAACAGGUAGAGCUGAGGACUCAGGCGGAACUGCCUGCGACAAGCAGGAGGAAGGCGGGGACGACGUCAAGUCAUCAUGGCCCUUAUGUCCAGGGCUACACACGUGCUACAAUGGCCGCCACAGAGCGGGGCGAAGCCGAGAGGCGGAGCAGAACGCAGAAAAGCGGUCGUAGUCCGGAUUGAAGUCUGAAACUCGACUUCAUGAAGCUGGAAUCGCUAGUAACCGCACAUCAGCACGGCGCGGUGAAUACGUUCCCGGGCCUUGUACACACCGCCCGUCACACCAUCCGAGCAGGGGGUACCCGAAGCCGGCAGUCCAACCGCAAGGGGGACGCUGUCGAAGGUACGCUUUGUGAGGGGGGUGAAGUCGUAACAAGGUAGUCGUACCGGAAGGUGCGGCUGGAUCACCUCCUUU
rnacentral:rRNA from 1 species